rnacentral:siRNA from 1 species
UAUAACGGGCCUGCGUAAUAGGC